UUUUAUUUCUCUCUAUACCAGUGACAGAAGAAUCUCAAGCUGUUAUUGCUUUCCAGUGACAGAACCCAGAUAACCAAAUGAUCGAGCUCUUCUGUUAAAAGCCAGCCUCACCAUGACAAGUGCUGUGGAUUACUAUUAAGAGUCUAAACUGUCUGACUGAAUGUGGAUACGGUAUUUCUGUAAAGGGCCCAAAUAAGUAAGCAACAGCUUUUCUACAGGGAGUGCAUGCUUGCUAGAGACAGAUGGCUGCAGAUACAGAGAAGGAAGAGACUGCAAUCAACAGGAAAGCUGAGAACAUCGCACAUGCUCUGAAAAGGAGAAUGCAAAAAAAGAUCCACUCAUCCCACUGACAUGGUCUGAACCCCAUGACCCAGGGAGGUCAAGUCUUCUUAAAGAUGUUGACAAAACAAGGACCCGAACAGGAGAUUGCUGCAGAAUGGAUGAGGCCAUUUGAAGAAUGGAGGACACUCAUUUAUCAGUCAAACUGCCUGGAGUGAAAUCGUGGGCACAUCACACCCAAGUCAAGACAACUCACUUAUUACAUAAACCACACGAUCUCUGCUGGAGGGACCAUGGACUUCCCAGUCUCUUAAGCACCUGAAAUGGCUUUUGUAAAACAAGACAAAAGAUGCUAAG